GAGUUUGAUCAUGGCUCAGAUUGAACGCUGGCGGCAGGCCUAACACAUGCAAGUCGAGCGGUAACAGAGAUAGCUUGCUAUCUGCUGACGAGCGGCGGACGGGUGAGUAAUGCUUGGGAAUAUGCCUUUAGGUGGGGGACAACAGUUGGAAACGACUGCUAAUACCGCAUGAUGUCUACGGACCAAAGUGGGGGACCUUCUGGCCUCACGCCUAAAGAUUAGCCCAAGUGGGAUUAGCUAGUUGGUUGAGGUAAAGGCUCACCAAGGCAACGAUCCCUAGCUGGUCUGAGAGGAUGAUCAGCCACACUGGAGCUGAGACACGGUCCAGACUCCUACGGGAGGCAGCAGUGGGGAAUAUUGCACAAUGGGCGAAAGCCUGAUGCAGCCAUGCCGCGUGUAUGAAGAAGGCCUUCGGGUUGUAAAGUACUUUCAGCGAGGAGGAAAGGUAGGUAGUUAAUAACUGCUUACUGUGACGUUACUCGCAGAAGAAGCACCGGCUAACUUCGUGCCAGCAGCCGCGGUAAUACGAGGGGUGCAAGCGUUAAUCGGAAUUACUGGGCGUAAAGCGUACGCAGGCGGUUUGUUAAGCGAGAUGUGAAAGCCCCGGGCUCAACCUGGGAACUGCAUUUCGAACUGGCAGACUAGAGUAUGAUAGAGGGUGGUAGAAUUUCAGUGUAGCGGUGAAAUGCGUAGAGAUCUGAAAGGAAUACCGAUGGCGAAAGGCAGCCACCUGGGUCAAUACUGACGCUCAUGUACGAAAGCGUGGGGAGCAAACGGGAUUGGAUACCCCGGUAGUCCACGCCGUAAACGAUGUCUACUAGGAGCUGGGGUC
rnacentral:rRNA from 1 species